AUGAAAAUUUAUAGAAUUCUUUUUUAUUUUUUUCUUCAAAUCCAAAAAAUUUCUCUUUUUAUACAUAGGUCGUCGAUUCGGCAUUGGUUAAAAAAGGGCAGGGUGCCCCCUUUUUUUCUAGUAAAUAGUUCAAACCAUUUUAUCGAUAUGAGUGUUCUAUAUUAGAUAAAUUUUACAUUAGCUAUUUCCCGUUAUUAUUCGGUACUAAUACUAACAUAGUUGUAGAAAGAGUACCUCUUUUUGCCUGGACUUCAAGCAGUUUAGCUUUAACCGUGUUAAUGGUCUCACAUUCUUGGUUUAUAGAGAAUCAAAGUUGAUUUACCAAUGAGUCGCAAAAUGCUAUGGUUCUUCCAUAUGAUUUCUGAAUUUAUUCAGAAGUAAUUCGUCGAGAUCGUGCACCCUUUUCUUAUUUAUCCAAAAAUACUAAAAAAUAUUAUAAAGUACAGCCAGAUAGAUCCAAUCUAUUCUUGAAAUAGACAACUCGCACACACUCCCUUUCCAAAAAAAAUCAAAACACCAACCACUACAGUUAGAUUUAUUAGAUUUGUUGCUAAAAUAUUGGUAUUAAGCCCGAAACUGCCAGCGGAUGGCCAGUGAGCUAAAAAAAAUGAAAGAAUGGGUUACAUUUUUCAUAUGCUCUCCUCUUAUAGAUAGGACGAACAAAGAACAAAGUUUUUCGAUCACUUACUUCGCUCGCCCUUUUUUGAUCGGUUUUUUUAAUGCAAAUAGAUUCAAUCUAGUAAUUUCUUUUAGAUUAAGUCUUACGUCUUGUUUGACCGGUGAAAGACUUCCUUUGUUGAAAUUUUCUGUUCCCAAAAUUCCUAAAAUAAAAGGAAAAAACUUUCCACUUUCCUAAACUAAGGACGGGAAAUAAGAAGGUGAGCAUAUCUUCUAAAUUAAUAAUACUCAACUCAGCCCUUCCUAGAAUGGGGUAUUAUCUGUCCCGAUAAAUAGAUAAUUCCAGGAGUAAUAAAUAGGAGUAAAUUAAAUAAAGUAUUGAUAUAAUUGGAAUUGUGGAAGCAAAUACCAAUUUACUAAAAAAAGAAAAAAGUAUCUAAUCGAAAUCGAAAGAAUUUUUUUAAGAUUAAACAAAAGGGUUCGCAAAUAAAAGCGCUAGUGCCACAACUAGUCCAUAAAUUGUUAAAGCUUCCAUAAAAGCUAGACUAAGCAAUAAAGUACCUCGUAUUUUACCUUCUGCUUCUGGCUGUCUCGCAAUACCUUCUACAGCUUGUCCUGCAGUAGUACCUUGACCAACUCCAGGUCCAAUAGAAGCAAGCCCUACGGCCAAUCCAGCAGCAAUAACAGAAGCAGCAGCAAUUAGUGGAUUCAUGGUGAGUAGUUCCUCGUGUCAAAAAAAAGAAAUGGUUAAGGAUACAAUCAACCAAUAAAUUCUUACUUCUAAGCUCUAUUGGGGAGAAGUAAAGUAACUAAAAAGUACAAAUUGAAAUCAAAUUGAAAUGAUAAUGUGAAUUGUCCGAACUACAUAGAAGGGAAUUCCAUAUCCAUAUAUCGGAUUAGAUAAUGAAUCUAACCUAGGAAUAUAUAAUAUAAUAUCCUAUAUAUAUAUAUAUAUACAUUUGUUUCUUCUAUUUUGUUUGCAUAUUUUCUCAUUUUCUAUUGAAUCGGAUUCUAAAAUCAUUGCUUAAGGUGGAAACCUGCAUAAAAGAGGACUCCACUUAUAGACAUUAAGGAUAUUAUAGUAUAGAUCUAGCCUGACUCCACCCUCCUUAAUGCAUAUAUACUUUGAAAAUUCCAUAAUAUAGUCUAUUCUAUUCUCUCUCCUACAACUCUAGGCUAUAUAUUCAUACGCAUUUCUAACUAUUUUUUUGCAACCAAGCAGAUUAUCUGGAACCAUGCAUGAAUUGAGCUAAGCUGCAAAAAAAUUACUAUUUCCAAAAAGAGUCAAUUCAAUGAUGACCCUCCAUGGAUUCACCUAUAUAGGCUGCGGCUAAUGUUGCAAAAAUAAGAGCUUGAAUACCGCUUGUAAAUAAUCCAAGAAACAUGACCGGUAUAGGGAUUACUAAGGGGACUAAAGAAACAAGAACAACAACGACUAAUUCAUCCGCCAAUAUAUUCCCGAAAAGUCAAAAGCUAAGCGAUAAUGGUUUUGUGAAAUCUUCUAGGAUGUUAAUUGGUAAAAGGAUUGGAGUUGGUUUAAUAUAUUUCUCGAAAUAGCUCAAUCCUUUUUUGCUAAGACCAGCAUAAAAAUAUGCCACUGACGUGAGUAAAGCUAAAGCAACAGUAGUAUUUAUAUCAUUCGUGGGCGCUGCUAAUUCCCCAUGGGGUAACUCUAUAAUUUUCCAAGGUAAAAGAGCACCCGACCAAUUCGAAACAAAAAUAAAAAGGAACAUAGUUCCAAUAAAGGGAACCCAGGGACCAUAUUCUUCUCCAAUCUGAGUUUUGCUCAAGUCUCGAAUAAACUCAAGGACAUAUUCAAAAAAAUUCUGACCAUCGGUCGGGAUGGUUUGUGGAUUCCGAACAGCUAUGACAACUGAACCUAGCAAGAUAGUAAUUACGACCCAAGAAGUGAUGAGUACUUGGGCAUGAAUUUGGAAACCUCCUAUUUGCCAAUAGAAGUGUUGGCCUACUUCUACACCCGAUAUAUCAUAUAACCCCUUGAGUGUUUUAAUGGAACAAGGUAUAAUAUUCAUAUUGUCCUCUGAUAAAAAUUGAACUUCAAAAAAGGAAUUCUUUUGAUUCAACCAUCUCUUUCUCAACUCAGCAACUUGAAGUAUUAAUCUUAUAUUUAGGAUACCAAGAAAGCACAUCAGAUCAUAAUAUAUAUCAAUACCCUCUAAUAUAUAUCAAUAUUCCCCUUCUUUUUUCUAUGCAAAAAAAAGAUAUAGUAAAGUAAGUGAUUCCAUAAAUUUACGCAGUUGCCCAAGAAUUCACUAUAUAUUCUUAAUCAACGAUUUCUUAUAUAGAGAGAACGGCCCUCACAAAUUGAAAAUACUAAUUUGUUAAGAAUCAAUCGAAUUGAAGGCAUAGUGUCAUCGUUGGCUGGAAUCGAUAUAUUCGCGAGAUCCGGGUCACAAUUUGUAUCGACUAAAGAAAUAGCAGGAAUCCCCAAAAUGGCACAUUCCCGAAGAGCUAUAUACUCUUUUUGCUGAUCAAGGACGAUCACAAUGUCUGGCAAUCUCGUCAUAUAUUUGAUCUCGCCGAGAUACCUUUGCAAGGUAGAUAAUUUUCUCUUCAAGAUUGCCACAUCUCUUUUUGGGAGAUGGUGGAAUUUUCCCAUUUUUUCUUCUGCUCUUAAGUCUCUAAAUUGAGAAAGUCUAGUUUUCGUAAUCGACCAAUUCGUUAACAUACCACUGAACCACUUUUUAUUAACAUAAUGACAACGAGCCCUUAUUGCAGCUGAUGCUACUAAAUCUGUUGCUCUUUUUUUGGUACCAACAAUUAAGAAACUUUUUCCCUGACUUGCUGCAUCAAAAACUAAAUCACAAGCUUCUGAUAAAAAACGAGCCGUUCUAGUGAGAUUUAUAAUAUGAGUACCUUUACGCUUUGCCGAAAUGUAAGGGGCCAUUUUACGAUUCCAUUUCUUAAUACCAUGACCAAAAUGAACUCCUGCUUCUAUCAUCUCUUUCAAAUUAAUGUUCCAAUAUCUUCUUGUCAUUUUUUCCACACUUCCUUUUUUUAAUCCUACCAUUCCAUUACGGAAUUUAGUUCUUUUUGAAGAUUAAGAAAGAUCCGAAAUAGCUUGAAAUAAAAAAUAUUUUUUAUGUAUCCUUAAAUGAUAUAGGGUUAAAUGUUAAAUGGGGGUUCUUAUGUCUCAUAAAAAUUGUUUGUUACGUCAGAAUCAGAAGAAACUAAUUCUGUAUGGAGAAACAAAAAAUCUCUCAUUUCCGACGUGAAUAGAUUUUUUUUAUUUGGAAAUAAAGGUUCUUGUCUUGUGGGGAACGAUGCACAAAUUUUUGGAAUCUGGUACCAACAGGUAUAAACCCCCCCAGAACUACGUUUUCUUUCAAGCCUUUCAACCAAUCAAUGCGACCUCGUAGGGCAGCUUUUGCUAAAACUCGAGCAGUUUCUUGAAAACUUGCUUCAGAUAUGAAACUUUGGGUAUUUAGGGAAGCCCUUGUUAUUCCCAAUAAGAUUGCCCGAUAAUAGAUCGAUUCAUCCAAAGCUCGUCCUGCUCGUUCCGCUCGCAAUAGUCCGAUUAAUUCCCCAGGCGAGAAAACAUUAGACAUUCCAUCUUCGGAAACCCGCACUUUUGAUGUUACUUGGCGUAUAAUAAUCUCUAUAUGUCUAUUAUGGAUCUGUACCCCUUGGGAUCGAUAAACCUUUUGGAUUUUAUUAACCAAAGAGAUACUACUUUGGGCUAUGGUUAGCUCAGCUCCAAUCAAGAAUCCCCAAGGGACCCCAAGAAUUCUUGGUAUACGCUCAUUCCAAUCCUCAAUUCUCCUUUCGAGAUUCGGGGAUAAUGAAUCAAUUGAACGCGCUUCAAAGAUUUGUUCCACUUUUGGAAGACCUUGCGUUAUGUCACUAGAUCUUGAUUUUUCAUAUAUAAAUGUAACUAACCUAUCUCCCUUGUAAAGGAUUUCUCCAUAAUGACCAUUAACAGUUGCUCCUAUAGUGGCCAAAUAAGGUUUAGCUGCUCUUAUAACAAAGGAAUUCAUAUUUACAAUGAAAAUUUGACCGGAUUUUUUAUGUGCGAUUUAAAUAGACAUACAUUUUCACAAAUAAAUUGUCCAAGGUGAAUUAUUGCCAAUGUCUCUUCCCAAGAAUCAUGAUGGGCAAAGUGACAAUUCAAAAGGAAUGGAUCCAACAUUAUGUUACUAUCGAAAUUAGAAAUCCUUUUAUUUUCAUCUAUUAAAGAGUAUUUAAGUUCUUGAAGUACCUCGAAGGUUUGUUUUAAAUUGUCAACGAACAAAUAUUUUUUUAACAGGAUUUUAUUAUGCGUUAGUAAAUAGUAAGAUGAAGAAAAAUGCGAUAUACUAGCUACAAUAGCGCCUAAGGGCCCAAAAAUUUCUCGAAUAGGAAUUCUAGGAUUCCAUUCUUUUAUCGCAUUGGGAUGUUUUGAAUUCUUGAAUAAACCAAUUCGAGAACAGUUGGAUGCCGACAAAAUCAUCAAAGAGUGGUAUUCUUUAUUUCGAUCCAACAAAGUGCCAAUAGCUUCUGGAUGUUGGCUAAGUGAUUCAAUCUUCGCCUUGGAAUAAAAAGAAUUGAUAUUGGCGCGAUCUAACCUAUUAUGGGGAAUCGGUCCUGCACUUGUCCUACCAUACCUUUUUCAUGUAUACGAAAUAGUGGACUUGACUAAAUCAAUUCUUAGGAAAUCGCGAAUAAGAUCAUUUGCUCUUACCUCAACAAGGGAAGCACCAGCCUUUUCUUUUUCUUCUUGUUCCCAACUCACUACUAAGCAAGUUCUAACAAAUUGACUAUUUGUGUGAUAAAUUCUUUGAGUUAACUUGCUAUUUUCAUGAGAAAUAAAAUUGACAAGUCGAAUUUGGAGAUUAUUUUCUUCUUGCAAGAGAUCCUGCGGGAAAAGUGUUGCUAAAUUUCUUCCUUCGUCCAUUUCAUAUGCCACUGUAGGGCGAACGGAAACAAAAUACUUUUCCUUGCUCUUGAGAAUUUUUUUCCGUUGAACAUAGACCCAAUUUUUCCUUUUUUGAUUCCUUAGAAUCUUUUUUUUGUCUUUCUGGCGGUAUCAAACAGCCACCUAAUAUCUUAUCCGCCUCUUCAGGAAAAUGAAUAUCUCCGGAAAAUAUUUUGAGUUCCGUAUGGCUUUUUUUUUCUCUUCACUCGGACCAGUCCGCCUAGUCGACUUCUUGUAUUUUUUGUGAGUUGUGUAUCCACUCCAAUAAUACUAUUGUCAAGUAUGUUUAGGGAUGAAGAUCUCGGCAAGAUAUGAAGUUCUUGAAGAAUGAAAAAAAACCGAUCUACUUCUUUUUGGUAUUUUAGACUAAAUUCUUUUGUUCCUCGAUGCUCAAUCAAACCCUCUUUUUUUAAGAUGGAAUCUUCCUCUGGGCUCUCGUAUUCGUCCUCUGAAUCUUCUUCUGAGUCUUCCUCUAAAGUACCAUAUUUUUCCUCUGCGCUUUCCCCGGGGCUGCCAUAUUCGUCUUCUGAGUCUUCCUCUAGAGUACCAUAUUCGUCCUCUUGGGUCCUAUAUUUGCUCUCUGGGCUCCCAUAUUCCUCUUCCGAGACUUUCUCUAAAGUCCUAUAUUCGUUCUCUGGGUUCCCAUAUUCGUUUUCUGGGCUCCCAUAUUCGUCUUCUAGGGUUUCAUAUUCGUAUUCGUCUUCUAGGAUUCGAUAUUUAGAUUCUUCUAGGGUUUCAUAUUCAUAUUCGUCCUCUCGGGUCCUGUAUUCAUCUUCUAGGGUCUCAUAUUCCUCUUCUGAGUCUUCCGCUCGAGUCCUAUAUUCUUCUUCUAGGGGUCCUAUAUCUAAAUUUAACAAUUCCUGAACCCUUUUUAUCUUUUCUGUAUCGGGGAUCGUCAAAAUAAGCAAAUAUAGUAUUUCUACGUAAAACACCCAUAAGGGGGAUUUCAAUCGAAAUUCCAAAACAGGAUAUUAGUUCUUUCUCUUGUUCUUGAUGAUAUUGUAAUGGAAUGACGAACCUAUUUCUUCGCUUUUUCGCCAACAAAUCUGAAUUAUCUUGAAAAAUAGAAGGAUAGAUAAAAUUCCAAUGGCCAUUGGACAUGAUUCGAUCCGACGUUGAAUAAUCAAGAAUUUCCCUAUCUUUUUUACCAUAAGUAUUCAUUUGAUCUUGAUCCUUGUGGAGUGAAAAAGACGCUAUACUGGAUCUGCACAUACUUACUGACAAUAUCCAUAAAUGGCUUGUUUUUGGUAAUCGGCGAAGAUUACCAUAUUGAUAUUCGGGCGCAUGGUAAACAUCAGUACUCCAGUGCAUUUCGUCGUCUGAUUCAGAAUAAAUAUGCUUUUGUACCCUUUCUUUAAAAUGUAAAGUGGACGUUCCGGCACGAAUCUCCGCAAUUACUUGUUCGGAUUUUACAUAUUGAUCAUUUUGCACUAGAAUCAAGCUUUUUGAGGGAAUAUUCAUACUAUAUAGAAUAUCUUGACUCUGAAUAGUUACAUGCAAGUCUAUAUAACGUAGAAAAGCAGGCUGCCCAUGACGGGUACGUGUGGGGUGAACCAAAUUCUCAUUGAAUUUUAUUUUUCCAUUCGAAGGGGAUCGUACAAGGUCGGCAGUACCCCCUGUGAAUACUCCGCCAGUAUGAAAAGUUCUUAAUGUUAGUUGAGUCCCUGGCUCCCCAAUUGAUUGACCUGCAAUAAUACCUACGGCUUCUCCCAAUUCGACCAGAUCACUAUGAGUAGGACUCCGGCCAUAGCAUAAUUGACAGAUCCAAGAAGUGCUUCGGCAAGUAAAGGGGGUUCUAAUAUAUAUUGGUUGUGCUCGAAAUGGUUGUGCUCGAAAGGCAGUUAUGAAUCGAUUGACUAAUCCAAUUCCAAUAUCUUGAUUUCGCGCGGCAAUGCAUCGUGAACCGAUAUAUAUAUCGUCUGCUAAUACACGACCAAUUAGUGUUUGGACAAAAAGUUUUUCCGUCAUCCCAUUUUGAGGACUUACAGAAAUACCUCGGAUAGUACCACAAUCUCUUCUACGCACAAUAAUAUGUUGAACUACUUCAACAAGACUACGUGUAAGAUAUCCAGCAUCUGCUGUUCGCACAGCAGUAUCUAUAACCCCUUUGCGGGCUCCAUAGCAGGAAAUUAUAUAUUCUGUCAAAGAAAGUCCCUCGCGUAAAUUACUUUGAAUAGGUAAAUCAAUCAUUUGUCCUUGAGGGUCCGACAUUAAUCCUCUCAUACCUACUAAUUGGUGUACUUGAGAUGCAUUUCCUCUGGCUCCUGAAAAAGACAUUAGAUAGACUGGAUUAGAAGGAUCUGUUAUCCGAAAAUUUGAAUUCAUUUCUUGUUUCAAAUAUUCGCUUGUCGCAUACCAUAUCUCAACAGAUUGGCGUAAUUUUUCUACCACGUGUACAGCCCCAUAAUAAUAGUGUUUCUCCAAAAGAAAAAUAUGUUGUUCCGCGUCUUGGACUAACCAUCCCUUAGAGGGUAUUGUUAAAAGAUCCUCGAUUCCUAACGAAAUCGAUGUAGUAGUGGCUUGAUGGAAGCCCAGAGUCUUUAGUUGAUCCAGUAUAUGGGAUGUAUAUCCCAUUCCAAAAUGAUCUAUUAAUCUGCUAAUAAGUCGUUUCAUACCAGUUCCGUCUAUCUCUUUAUUAUGAAAGACCAGAUUGGCCCGUUCCGCCAUACAUAAGUACCCCCUUUUCGGCUGAGUAGGAUUCGACAAUUGCUGAGUAGGAUUCGACAAUGAGCCUGAGUCAGUGAUUCAAAAAUUUAAUUAACUUGCCUCAAUCUCAAUCUGGAUUCGCGUGGCAAAUAAUGAUGAUACUAGGGAAAUCGGAAUGCCCCCCGAAAGGGGAGGGGCAUCGCCGAAUCUAACUUUCUUGUUUAGGUAGUGUACGAAUAGGCCUGACUAAAUCCUUGUAUGGCUUCCUCUAUUUCUCUAUAAAAAGAAAUAUGACCAAGAGUGGUUCGAAUGUAUAUCGAACGAAUUUCUUUUUUUCUAUUUCCCAUUAUUAGAUAGUGGGCAUAAAUCUCAUGAUAAGUCCCCAAAGAUUCAUAUUGAACUUCAAUCGGAACUUCUCUUGACCCAAUGACGCGUUGAUCCAGGUUCCAUCGUAGCCACAAGGGACUAUCUAAACUGAUUAGUUUUUGUCUAUAAGCUCCCAGUGCAUCAUAAGAACUAGAAAAAUGGGGUUCUUUAUCUUUCCUAUAUUUAGAAUUAUUAUUAUUAUUGUAAUUUACUUUUAGAUUUGGGUAGUUUCUGUAACUAUUAUAUCUAUUUGCACAAAUACCUCGACGCUUUCCACUCGUUAAUACAUAAAGCCCGAUAAGCAUGUCUUGGGUUGGUACGCAAAUAGGAUCCCCAAUAGCGGGAGAUAAGAGAUUCAUAUGAGAAAACAUAAGUAAACGGGCUUCUGCCUGAGCUUCCAAGGAUAAAGGUAGAUGAACAGCCAUUUGAUCUCCAUCAAAGUCCGCAUUGAAACCCUUACACACUAAUGGGUGUAAAGAAAUAGUACGCCCCUCUACUAAAGUGGGUUGAAAGGCCUGUAUGCCUAAUCUAUGCAGGGUAGGUGCUCUAUUUAACAGUACAGGAUGUCCCCGCAUAACUUCUUGAAGUAUUUCCCAUACAAUGGGUUCUUUUUCCCAAAUUUUCCUUUUAGCAAUCCUUACAUUAGAAGUGGCGCGUUUCGUGAUUAAAUCGCGAAUUACAAAUAGCUGAAAAAGCUUUAUUGCUAUCUCUAGAGGUAAUCCAAUUGAUGUAAUGAAAGCGAAGGACCCACAACAAUGACAGAAUGCCCCGAGUAAUCGACCCGUUUCCCAAGCAGAGUCUCGCGAAACCUUCCCUCUUUACCUUCAAUUACAUCUGAAAGUGAUUUGUAUACUUUAUUGUGACCAUCCCUCGUCGGUUGCCCGCGGGACCCACUAUCAAGAAGUGUAUCCACGGCUUCUUGUACCAAUUUUUCCUGGCACAUUACUAAAUCUGCUGGCGCUAAUUCACUUCUUUUUAAUAGAUAGGCAAGAUUGUUGUUCCGACGGAUAACUCUCUUAUAAAGUUCAUUAAUGUCUGAAGUCACUACUUUAUCUCCAGACCUAUAAACAAUAGGUCUCAAUUCGGGAGGAAGAACCGGUAAUAAGCACAAAACCAUCCAUUCUGGUUCUACAUUUGUUUGAAUAAAAUGUUUCGCCAAUUGCAUGCGUCUAAUCAAAAAACUUUUCUUAUUCGUCUUUUUCUAUCUUCCCACUCAUCUCCACUAUACCCCUCGUCUUCUAAUUCCUUCCAUUCUACCAAAGAAUUCUCUAUAAUAAUUCGCAAAUCCAAAUAUGCUAAUUGUUCUCUAAUAGCACCUGCUCCUGUCGCAAUUUCCCGAUUUUGAAAUGUUGCAAAGCCUGGGGUAGAAAAAAAGGGAGAAAUGUUGUGGUUACAGGAUGCAAUUUCCUCUUCGAAUAAACCUCGUAAUCGUAAAGAAGUGGGUUUUUUAGUGCUGGGCCUAGCAAAAGAGAAAUCGCCGUAUACUAGGCCCUCCAACUUCUUAAGAGGUUUAUCUAAAAGAUUCGCGAUAUAACUAGGAAGGCCUUUCAAAUACCACACAUGAGUUACGGGACAUGCGAGUUUGAUGUAUCCCAUUUGAUAUCUUCGUAUCCGAGAAUCCACAAAUUCUACCCCACAUUUUUGGCAAAAUCUUUCGUCUUCGUUUUCAGCUCCGCUCGCUCGAGAAUUGCCACAAGCGCAAAUCCCGCUUUUUAUGGGUCCAAAGAUUCUUUCGCAAAACAAUCCAUCUUUUUCUGGUUUGUCGGUUUUAUAAUGAAAAGUAGAGGGCCUUGUGACUUCGCCAACGACUUCUCCAUUAGGUAGGUUUUUGUUAGCCCAAGCCUUUAUUUGUUGAGGGGAAACGAGUCCAAUUUGAAGUUGUUGAUGUUUAUAUUGGUCAAUCAUAAAAUAGAAAUAAGAAAAGAAUUUAUAUUUAUUCCGAUCAAACUUCCUCCCUAUUAACCUGGAAGUUCUUUUCAGAUACAAGGAAAUGAUUCAGUUCUAGAGCCAAAGAUCGUAGUUCUCGAACGAGCACUCGAAAAGAUUCUGGAGGAUCCUCAUGAUUAGGUAUUCUUUUUCCCCAGAUCGUAGCAUUAAGUAUUUCUUGGCGAGCUAUAAGAUGGUCAGAUUUAUAAGUAAGUAUCUCUUGUAAAAUAUGAGCAACACCAAAUCCUUCUAAAGCCCAAACUUCCAUUUCUCCUACUCGUUGUCCCCCUUGCUUGGCUCUUCCUCUAACCGGUUGUUGUGUAACAAGUGAGUAGGGCCCAGUAGAACGCCCAUGAAUUUUCUCAUCAACUUGAUGAAUUAAUUUUAAGAUAUAGGACUUCCCCAUUAGGUAGGUUUUUGUUAGCCCAAGCCUUUAUUUGUUGAGGGGAAACGAGUCCAAUUUGAAGUUGUUGAUGUUUAUAUUGGUCAAUCAUAAAAUAGAAAUAAGAAAAGAAUUUAUAUUUAUUCCGAUCAAACUUCCUCCCUAUUAACCUGGAAGUUCUUUUCAGAUACAAGGAAAUGAUUCAGUUCUAGAGCCAAAGAUCGUAGUUCUCGAACGAGCACUCGAAAAGAUUCUGGAGGAUCCUCAUGAUUAGGUAUUCUUUUUCCCCAGAUCGUAGCAUUAAGUAUUUCUUGGCGAGCUAUAAGAUGGUCAGAUUUAUAAGUAAGUAUCUCUUGUAAAAUAUGAGCAACACCAAAUCUUUCGUCUUCGUUUUCAGCUCCGCUCGCUCGAGAAUUGCCACAAGCGCAAAUCCCGCUUUUUAUGGGUCCAAAGAUUCUUUCGCAAAACAAUCCAUCUUUUUCUGGUUUAUCGGUUUUAUAAUGAAAAGUAGAGGGCCUUGUGACUUCGCCAACGACUUCUCCAUUAGGUAGGUUUUUGUUAGCCCAAGCCUUUAUUUGUUGAGGGGAAACGAGUCCAAUUUGAAGUUGUUGAUGUUUAUAUUGGUCAAUCAUAAAAUAGAAAUAAGAAAAGAAUUUAUAUUUAUUCCGAUCAAACUUCCUCCCUAUUAACCUGGAAGUUCUUUUCAGAUACAAGGAAAUGAUUCAGUUCUAGAGCCAAAGAUCGUAGUUCUCGAACGAGCACUCGAAAAGAUUCUGGAGGAUCCUCAUGAUUAGGUAUUCUUUUUCCCCAGAUCGUAGCAUUAAGUAUUUCUUGGCGAGCUUUAAGAUGGUCAGAUUUAUAAGUAAGUAUCUCUUGUAAAAUAUGAGCAACACCAAAUCCUUCUAAAGCCCAAACUUCCAUUUCUCCUACUCGUUGUCCCCCUUGCUUGGCUCUUCCUCUAACCGGUUGUUGUGUAACAAGUGAGUAGGGCCCAGUAGAACGCCCAUGAAUUUUCUCAUCAACUUGAUGAAUUAAUUUUAAGAUAUAGGACUUCCCUAUUAGAACAGGUUGCUCAAAGGGGUCGCCUGUUCUUCCAUCAAAUAUUCUGCUUUUUCCCGGGUACUCGGGUUCAAAUACCCAUGGAUUUUUUGUUUCUUUACUGGCUUCAUAUAAUUCUGAAAACACAAGUUUUCUUGAAGCCUCUUGCUCAUAUCUCUCAUCAAAGGGUGCUAUUCUAUAAUGUUUCUUUAGCAGAUCCCCCGCUAAUCCGAGCGAGCUUUCAAAUAUUUGUCCCACAUUCAUUCGGGAGGGUACUCCUAAGGUAUUGAAGACCAUAUCAACGGGUGUUCCAUCUUGCAAAUAGGGCAUAUCUUGCCUAGGCAAAAUUUUGGAAAUGAUCCCUUUAUUCCCAUGUCUUCCGGCUACUUUAUCCCCAACUUUGAUUUCACGUUUCUGUAAAAUAUAUACACGAACCAUUAUGUCGAGCGGGUCCCUUUGGAUCCAUUUCACAUCGAUAACGCGCCCUCUUCCACCUAUAGGUAAUUUCAAAGAAGUUUCUUUUGAAGUGGAAACCUCAAGGCCAAAUAUGGCCCGUAAUAAUCCAGCUUCCGCGAUAUAAGAUGAUUCGCUCGCUAUCUGAGGCGUUAAUUUACCUACUAAAAUAUAACCAGUUUCUACCCAGGAUCCCAACCUAACAACUCCAUUUCUGUCCAAAUUGCGUAGUAAAUGUUCUUCUAGAUGUGGUAUUUCUUUAGUGAUUUUUUCAGCGGAGCCCUGGCUUGUCGUAUCCGUCUGAAUUUCAUAUUUCCGGAUGUGAAAAGAGGUAUAAAUAUCUUCAUAUACCAAACGUUCGCUAAUUAGUACUGCGUCUUCAAAAUUGUAACCUUCCCAUGGCAUAUAAGCUACUAAUACGUUUUUUCCUAAAGCAAGUUCGCCCCCAACUGUAGCAGCUCCUUCUGCUAAAAUUUGUCCUUUUUUAAUGGAUUUACCUCGUGGAACCCGGGGUUUUUGGUGCAUACAAGUAUUUUUGUUAGAGCGACGGUGGUUAACUAAAGGAAUACUUAUAGUCUUCCCACUACUUGAUAAAAGUAUCUUAUGACUAUCAGUAGAAAUGAUCUUUCCCUCGCGUUCGGCUAUAAUGGAAACCCUCGAAUCUAGAGCUGUUUGGCGUUCCAAUCCAGUUCCAACAAUGCAUUUCUCGGACCGAGAAAGCGGAACUGCUUGGCGCUGCAUAUUAGAACUCAUUAAAGCCCGAUUCGCAUCAUUGUGCUCAAUAAAAGGAAUGAGAGAACCCCCAAUAGAAAAAUAUUGGAAAGGAAAAAUACUUCUAACAUGAAUCUGUUCCCAUGCAAUAGUCAAGAAUUCUUGACGGUAUCUAGCCGGAACAACCUGUUCUUCCUGAAUACCUUGAUUCAAGCACAAAGAAUUUCCUGCUGCUAUGAGAUAAUAUUCAUCUCUAUUUGGUGAUAGAUAAACCACCUGUCUCUCUUUUUUUUCUUUUGCUUUCUCAGCAGAUAUUUCAUAAAACGGACUCUCUAUGGAUCCCCACAAGUGAUCAAUUCUCGCAUGAAUUGCUAAGGAUCCAGUAAGUCCAACAUUGAUUCCUUCAGACGUGUCAAUUGGACAAAUACGCCCAUAGUGACUCGGAUGAAUAUCUCGGCUCCGAAAACUUGCGGUUCUCCCCGUCAACCCUCCAGGACCUAAACAACUCACUUUUUGCCCAUGAACAGUUUGUGUCAAUGGAUUCGUUUGAUCAAAAACUUGAGAUAACGGGUAUGUGCCAAAAAAGGUCUCAUACGUAGUUAUUAAUCAAAUUGAAGUUGAAGUUGGAGUUACCAAAGUUUGGGGAGUCGGUUUCGAUUGACGUAUGAAUACUCUACGAAUAGUUUUUUGAACUGCAUGUUGUAAACGACCAAGAGCCAAUCCGAAUUGAUCUUGUAACAGAUCUGCAACCGAACGAAUACGUUUAUUUUUCAAGUGAUUCAUAUCGUCAUCGUCAAGUAUACCCGUUCCAAAUUUCAUUCCAAUCAAAUGAUCCGUAGCGGCCAAUACAUCUCGUGGUAACAAGAAUGUAUUGUUCUGAGGUAUACCAAGAUUAAGUCUCCGAUUCAUAUUUCAUCGACCAAUCCUUCCUAAUUCACAUUUUUGUUGAAAAAAUUUCUUUUGUAAUUCCUCGCAUAAGGACUCCGAAAAUACCAGGUCCCCACCUACACAAGCAAAUUGUUGAUAAAACUCCAAAAUAGCUUUUUCUUUUGACUCAAUCCUCUUCUUCUCCUUAGCAUUCGGGAAAGACAAGAAAAUUUCAAGGUAGGAAACAUUAUCUAGAAUUUCUCUUAGAUUCGAACCCAUAGCUGAUGAUAGAACUAGAAUAGAUAUCUUUUGUUUUCUACUCACGCGAGCCCAUAUCCUUUCUUUUUUAUCAAUUGCUAAUUCCGAUCUGCCCCCCCCCCCAAUCUGAUAUUAUAGUGCCAGUGUAGAUAGAAAUUCCCUUAUGAUCUAAUUCCGAGCAGUAGUAAAUAGCAGGACUUAGCAAUAUUUGCUUGAUCACAAUUCGGUAUAUUCCAUUUAUAAUAAAGGUUCCUAAGGAAUUCAUUAUAGGAAUGUUUCCGAUAGAAAUGGUUUGCUUUUGCACAUCGAAACCAAAAAUUAAUCUCGCAGAUACAUAUAAUUCGGAAGAAUAGGUGAGUGAUUCAUACACAGCAUCUCUUUCUUUUAUCGAGGGUUCUAGCAAUUGAUAUUCUUUCGCAAAUAAUUGAAAUGCAAUUUCGUGAUCUGGAUCUUUAAUUGUUGGAAACUUGUCAAGUUCUUCUGCUAAGGCUUGAUUAAUGAACCUACAAAAUCCCUCGAAUUGGAUCUGACUAAAUCCGGGUAUUGUGGACAUUCCCUCGUUUCCAUUCCGGAGCAUCUUAAUCUUAUGUUUCCUGUUUAUCAAAGAAAAAUUCCAUUAUCAGCUCACUCUUCAUCAAUCCCUCUGGAUCGAUCUAGCAAUCAUGGAAUCUAUAUUCUGUUUACUGAAUCACAUGAAAUUCUAGGGAACUCCACAUACGUAUUUCAUAUAUGUAUUUCAUACAUAUGAAUAGAGACCAUUUGGACGAAAGUUCGAGUUUGCCAGGGGUACAAAUGAAAUGAAAAUGAAUUGAUAAAACAUUCCAAAAAACAAAAUUCUGCCACUUAUACUUUAUGUUAUGAUAUUCUAAUCAGAUUGGAUGGCAAAGAUUUCUCAUUUUAUCUCCUUUCUAUGAAUGUAAUAAAGCCGUAAUAUAAUAU
rnacentral:lncRNA from 1 species